rnacentral:tRNA from 1 species
GUAAGGAUGGCCUAGUUGUCUAAGGCGCUAGACUCAAGGAGUGAAUCCUUCCUGGAGAUAUGGGUUUUCUGUUUUCCAAAUGUAGGUCUGGGUUCAAAUCCCACUUCUGACA